UAUCUGGGGAAAUGAUCAUCUUGCGUGAGAUCCCGCUUGAAAGAAGAAUGACUCCGUGAAGCAGACGAACCGACGUAGUUGAACGGUCCUCACAUCCGACACGCUUGCGGAACUCUAUCGAGACAAAGGGAAACGAAAACAAGCAUCAACACACGAUAUUCCCCACACGAUGCAAGACACAUAUGAUGCAUGAGCUACUGAAUUCAUGCAAUUCACGGCAUGACAAUUCACACAAUCAAACACUACACGUUAACUGAAGUUCAAUAUGCAACGAGUUGCAUAUUGACGAAACUCCACAUAGGAAUUAUUUAGUUCACUCCCGGUUAUCUAUACGGCAAUAUUAAUGUUGUCAAACAUGCAAUAGGUGAAGCGGAAAUUAAACUACCUAUCUAGGCAUUUUAAAUGAGGUCGGAAAUGACAUAUAGCAUCUCCGAGGCGACCUCACAUGUUAAUUUACAAUUCUGUCCAGAUCUGAAUUAACACAUUUAAUUAGUAGUUAAACAGCAAAACAAAUAGGUUCUCGUGAUUCUAGGCGUCAAGGCAAGCAAUCUACACAUAAAGAACAUCUCCAAUGGAGCUACGGAUCAAAAGAUACAAGCACCGCAAGAUAUGAUGGCAUGAAUGCAAUAUGUGUGUAACGACGGUCACGAGCACUUCAAAACAUUCAAACAGCAAGAGAAAAUGAAACUACAUGAGAUUCUAAGCAUGUUUCAUGUAGGACACGAUCAAAUCGGAGCUACGGUUCAACAACUACGAGCAAAACAAGAAAUGACUACAAUCUGCCAAAAACAGCCACAUAGCAUUUUCUACGCCUCACAACUUCGGCUACACAACUCCGAUAUGCUCAAGAAAGGCAUGGCACGGAAGAGGGCAAGAAGCACUACUACAAACUACUAACAACAACUAAGAUGGCAGCAAGGAGCACUAGGAAAAGAAGACACAAAAUGGCAUCUCACGCACUAUUUCAGACUUAGUGAAAAUAACACCUCAUGAAAGUGCAGUUUUUGAUCUGAAGCAAUAUUGACAGCAGCAAAACCUAUAGCUACAGGACUCCAAAUGUCAUGAAACUUUACAGCAUGCUAGAGAAAUACAAGGGGUACAACUAACUCCAUUGGACCAACCUCAAAAGAGCUACACAUCACAAGAUACAAGCAAG
rnacentral:lncRNA from 1 species